UGUUCACAUGCGUGAUGAUACAUGAUGUUGGUAGGGACAUCUGAGAAAACUUGAUGAGUACCAACAUCUCUGACAUGCAGAACU
ensembl:snoRNA